AGAACGAACGCUGGCGGCAUGCCUAACACAUGCAAGUCGAACGAGACUUCGGUCUAGUGGCGGACGGGUGAGUAACGCGUAGGAACCUGCCAAGCAGUGGGGAAUAACAGCUGGAAACGGCUGCUAAUACCGCAUACGCCCUUCGGGGGAAAGAUUUAUCGCUGUUUGAGUGUGCGUCUGAUUAGCUAGUUGGUGCGGUAACGGCGCACCAAGGCGACGAUCAGUAGGGGGCGUGAGAGCGUGGACCCCCACACGGGUACUGAGACACGGACCCGACUCCUACGGGAGGCAGCAGUAAGGAAUAUUGGUCAAUGGAGGAAACUCUGAACCAGCCAUCCCGCGUGCAGGAAGAAUGCCCUAUGGGUUGUAAACUGCUUUUAUCUGGGAAGAAAAGUCGGGAUUUAUCCUGAUCUGACGGUACCAGAGGAAUAAGCACCGGCUAACUCCGUG
rnacentral:rRNA from 1 species